GAUGAACGCUAGCGGCAGGCAUAAUACAUGCAAGUUGAACGGGAUUCAGAUAGCAAUAUUUGAUGAGAGUGGCGCACGGGUGCGUAACACGUAUGCAACUUACCUUAAACUGGGAGAUAGCCCGUGGAAACAUGGAUUAAUAUCCCAUAGUAUAAAGAACAAGCAUUUGUUUUUAUAAAGCUCCGGCGGUUUAAGAUGGGCAUGCGCGUCAUUAGCUAGAUGGAGAGGUAACGGCUCACCAUGGCAACGAUGACUAGGGGGUCUGAGAGGAUGUCCCCCCACACUGGUACUGAGACACGGACCAGACUCCUACGGGAGGCAGCAGUAGGGAAUAUGGGCAAUGGACGCAAGUCUGACCCAGCCAUGCCGCGUGAGU
rnacentral:rRNA from 1 species